UAAGCGGAGGAAAAGAAACUAACAAGGAUUCCCCUAGUAACUGCGAGUGAAGCGGGAAAAGCUCAAAUUUAAAAUCUGGCGGUCUUUGGCCGUCCGAGUUGUAAUUUAGAGAAGNGUCUUCCGCGCUGGACCGUGCACAAGUCUCCUGGAAUGGAGCGUCAUAGAGGGUGAGAAUCCCGUCUUUGGCACGGAUGCCUGGUGCUUCUGUGAUGCGCUCUCGAAGAGUCGAGUUGUUUGGGAAUGCAGCUCAAAAUGGGUGGUGAACUCCAUCUAAAGCUAAAUAUUGGCGAGAGACCGAUAGCGAACAAGUACCGUGAGGGAAAGAUGAAAAGCACUUUGGAAAGAGAGUGAAACAGUACGUGAAAUUGUUGAAAGGGAAACGCUUGAAGUCAGUCGCGUCGACCGAGACUCAGCCUUGCCUUGGCUUGGUGUACUUCUCGGCCCGACGGGUCAGCAUCAAUUUCGCCCCUCGGAUAAUGGCAAGGGAAAGGUGGCACCUUUACGGGUGUGUUAUAGUCUCCUGUCGAAUGCGGGGGGUGGGAUUGAGGAACUCAGCGCGCACCUCAGUGUCGGGGCUUCGGCCCACGUCACGCGCUUAGGAUGCUGGCGUAA
rnacentral:rRNA from 1 species